rnacentral:lncRNA from 1 species
GCUGAGUCUUCCGGGCGGUGUCUGCAUCCCCUUUCUCAUCUGAGCCUGGAAGCAGUACCCUACUUGGCUCUGUUCCUGCCACUCAUGGCUUUCCUUGGUCCUUGGGAGCCGGCCCCCCAGCUCCCCGCCCCGACAAAUGUGCCCCCAAGUGCUGGGGAACUGCAGUUGGCCCUUCCUUGUCUGCCAGCUCAGGUCAUUCUCCACGGGCUAGUGACCGGACCCGGUGUGAGAAGACUGGGUUUGAAUUCCAGCCCCCCAUCCCUGCGCCAUGUGCUCUGAGCCUCAGUUUGCCACAUAUAUAGCAGAGCCCCAGCGUGGCAGUGUGGCCAGGAGGUUGCAUGGCCCAGCCUGCCCAGGGCUGAGGCUGCCCUGCCGAUGUGCACAUGCACAUGCCAGGCUUGGGGCUCCUGCUGUCGCUGCCAUGGGCUCAGGCCCAGCACUUGGUGGGCACCUGUGCAGGCAGGGUGGCAGGCAUCUUGUCUCCAGCGGGGCAGAGACUGUGCUCGGCCACUAGAGGCCAGUGCAGCCUGAGGUGGGCCCUGUGGGCGGGCCCUGGGCUGGCUUGGUGGGCAUGGGGUUGAGGGUAGGGGCAAGGGGCACCUUGUUUCCCUCCCCCCCAGGCUCCCCAGAGAUGCGACGCAGCACUGGACACGAGACCUGUGCCCGUCACCCUGUGCUCAGAGCACUUCCAGUCAGACUGGAGAGUGGGACUCUAAGCCCUGCCCAUGCCAGCUUCCAGAGUCUUCCAGGAACUUCCUGGAGCUCAGGGGACCGGAUCAGUGAUGGAGCACAGACCCCUGGGCCAUCGGAGGAAAGCUAUAGCCCCUGCCUCUCCAGAAGCACAGACAAGUGCACGUGCCAUUUAAUCCACAAUUUCAACCACGACCGUGGAGGCCGUGAUGAAGCAACCAGGAUGGCAUGCUGGUGACAAUGACACAACAACGCCAGGAGAGGUUAGUCCUGGUAGAUCUGCCCCCGAGCCAGGCCUGUGCCAGCCUCUUUGUGCAGAUGAUCUCACGAAUCCUCCGAGGACGCUGGGAAUCUAGACUACUGCUAUCUCCAGUUAGAUGAGGAGUCAGGCCCUGGUGAAGCUCACACAACUAGUUAGUGGCAGACUUGGAACUUGACCCCUAGAAGGCGCCAGACAUUUCAGAUUCACCAUUUCUGUUCUGCUGAUGCAACUGGGCCGCCCCACACUCACAUCACAAGCCGCAGCCUGUUUUUUAAUUCUCCCCCCAACCCCACUCUUUAAAGUUGUGGACUGUAGCAUACACGAAUAUGGAAAAGGGAAUAAAGAAUGUAUGAAGAGCUCA